UCCACCUCAUCUUUCAGAAAGCCUUCAUUUCCUGGACUUAUUGAAUGUGUCAAGGUGUUUCUCCAACCAGCUUUUCCUGCCUCUUUAUAGUGUUCUCUCUGUUCUCUGGGUGUAGGGGAAAGCAUGCUGGCUGCUUCAGAGGACUUGAAGUGUAACAGUUGGCUUUUUAGCUAUUGCCUCACCCUGCCUGCUUUUCCUGGCAUCCUCAUCAGCUCCUGCAGACUUUAAUCUUUGCUUUUCAAAUAAAAGUUUCCUACUGAUGGUGCUAAGUUUCUAAGCUGAACCAAAUCUGAACUGCCCAAGCAGUUGAAGCAAGAAUGAGCUUAAUCCAUCACUCAUGCAAGCGCAGAUCAUGUUAAAUCUUGCUUUGAAAUCAAUACUUUUGGUUUAAAACUAGCGCAACCAUGAGAGCAACCUGUCAGUGUGAGGUUAGCUGCCUGCAUUUAUUUCAGAGGAGUUUGAAUGCUGAUGUUUCUGGACUGUUUCACGGCCGCUGAUCUUCACAGGGGACUGAGAUAUGGAAGUAAAUUUAUUUAAGGCUUCUGAGUUCUAUCUGACUUCUGAAAAUGCAAUGUGAGCUGUAAAUCACUGGGGUGAUUGGAAAACAUCAUCCCCUUGAGUCGUCACUGAGCAGAACCCUUCUUCAGGCUUUUAGAGUUACCUUUUCUGCAGACGGUAAAACCAAGUCUGAAAGUGCUGGUGUAAAGGAGACCUUGGAGCCUCCUGGUGAGGCAGCACCACAACUGGAGCCAACAGAUCCCCGAACUACUUCCCCAGGAGAGAGACAUCACAACCUGAAGGAGGCUCUGACAUGGACAACUGUGACCCCUCUUUGAAGCCACGUAAUGAUGAAAGCAGGUUUUGCCGGGCUCAAGAGAGGCAGGACAUCAGAUCAUGGGCUACCAUGGCUUACUGACUCCUCAAACGUCAGCUGAGCUACACUACCUGACCAUGUAAUGUGCUAGUCGUAUCACAAAUGUUGCACAAAACCUGUGAAUUUAACACUUUUUUAAAGACCUUGGUUUCAGUGUGUUUCCUCUGGCACUGGUGAGGGGCUGGGAGUGCAUAGGAGCUGUCUGUCUUUAUCGUUGGAGGGAAGAGAAAUAGAAACUAAAACCUGGGAGUGAAGAAGCAAAGUGUGAGCUGUGAACCUUCACAGGGAACAAACACAACUCCCUUACCCCAGCACCGCUGAUUUACCUCCCUGCUGGCUGCCCAUAACUACAUCCCAGGAGCAGCAUCACCCUCAGGCUACUGAUGGAUCUCCUCCUCGGGGCAGAGCCUGGCUUUGUUUUCCAGGGUCUAUAUGGUAGCUGCUGUAGCAAGUGUUUGCCCAGCCACAAAAAGGGAGCUAUUCCUUUUAAGUCCUACAGGUUGCAACUCAGUGAUCUGGAUUCACUGAUGAACCUAUCUUCUGACUGAACAGUUAUGGUGAGUUUAAAUUGGCAUCUACAGCCCACGCGUGCACGCUCUCCUCUCCAGUUGCCCCCAGCACAGCCACACAGGCAGUCUAGCCAUACCCAGGUGCCACUUUUACAUCAACUCUUUCAAGUGGGAAGAGGCUUUCUGGCGUGCGCUCGCUGCUAAUACUAAUAGUAGCACUGUUCUGUCCCUCACUGUCUUUACACAACAACUUAAUGCUCAAAACUUAAUGUCCCACGAGGAAACGUGCACCAGUAUGGGCCCAUCUCAUCUGGAUUAAAGAUGUCUUCUGGUUCAGUUUCUUUCAUAAAGCGAAGGAGAACUUACAUUACCCAGAGCUCAGCCACAGUUCCAUGUGUGCGUUUUUCACCAGGCUGUCACUUGGACUGUUUUGCAUUACGAGCCUUCGGUCUCACUCUGGCUGUCGAUUUGUACUAUUAAGCUCUGAAACACAGAAUUUACAUGCCAAGUUUCCACUUUUCUUCAACAGCCAGGAUCCACUGAAAGCCACUAGGUAGGGUCAGGCUUUGACAAAGCUGGAGGACAGUUCUCCUGCCUCCUCGCUGCCCAUCUCCCCAGGCCUGCCUCCUUAUAACCACCCCAUUUUGUGCUCGCUGGCAUGCCUGCCAGGGGACACAGGGACACCAGGAUCACAGCAAUGGCAGCAGGAGAGCCCAGGCCGAGCGAUGACAGCUGAAGUACAUCAGUGUUUUAUCUUCUCAAUAUUUUGAUUAGUCAAAGGAAUGUUUGGGUUAAAAAAAAAACAAAAAACCAAAAAAACAACACAUUUUUUAAAAACCACGUGAUGGUCCCACAGGCUGUUACGGCUUUAUGUAAUAUUGAAUAGCUCUGUAGAAAUGGUCGCGUAACUGAGAGCAUCAGUGUGAU